AACGAACGCUGGCGGCAUGCCUAACACAUGCAAGUCGAACGGCACCUCCGGAUGAGGUUGCGCACGGGUGCGUCACGCGUGGGAACGUGCACUUAGGCACGGAAUAAUUCUCCGUCAGGGGUGCUAAUACCGGAUAAUUUCUUCUAAUCAAGGAUAUAUCGCCUUGGGAUGGGCACGCGUUGGAUUAGCUUGUUGGUAGGGUAUAAGCCGACCAAGGAGUAGAUACUUAGCUGGGUUGAGAGGACGGUCCGCAACACUGGGACUGAGACACGGCCCAGACUCCUACGGGAGGCAGCAGUGGGGAACAUUGGACAACGGGCGAAAGCCUGAUCCAGCAAGGCCGCGUGAGUGAUGAAGGCCUUAGGGUUGUAAAGCUCUUUUACCCGGGAUGAUAAUGACAGUACCGGGAGAAUAAGCCCCGGCUAACUCCGUG
rnacentral:rRNA from 1 species